GAUGAACGCUGGCGGCGUGCCUAAUACAUGCAAGUCGAGCGAACGGACGAGAAGCUUGCUUCUCUGAUGUUAGCGGCGGACGGGUGAGUAACACGUGGAUAACCUACCUAUAAGACUGGGAUAACUUCGGGAAACCGGAGCUAAUACCGGAUAAUAUUUUGAACCGCAUGGUUCAAAAGUAAAAGACGGUCUUGCUGGCACUUAUAGAUGGAUCCGCGCUGCAUUAGCUAGUUGGUAAGGUAACGGCUUACCAAGGCAACGAUGCAUAGCCGACCUGAGAGGGUGAUCGGCCACACUGGAACUGAGACACGGUCCAGACUCCUACGGGAGGCAGCAGUAGGGAAUCUUCCGCAAUGGGCGAAAGCCUGACGGAGCAACGCCGCGUGAGUGAUGAAGGUCUUCGGAUCGUAAAACUCUGUUAUUAGGGAAGAACAUAUGUGUAAGUAACUGUGCACAUCUUGACGGUACCUAAUCAGAAAGCCACGGCUAACUACGUG
rnacentral:rRNA from 1 species